rnacentral:rRNA from 1 species
AUUGAACGCUGGCGGAAUGCUUUACACAUGCAAGUCGAACGGCAGCACGGACUUCGGUCUGGUGGCGAGUGGCGAACGGGUGAGUAAUGUAUCGGAACGUGCCCAGUCGUGGGGGAUAACGUAGUGAACAUUACGCUAAUACCGCAUACGAUCUAUGGAUGAAAGCGGGGGAUCGCAAGACCUCGCUCGGUUGGGGCGGCCGAUAUCAGAUUAGGUAGUUGGUGGGGUAAGGCCCACCAAGCCAACGAUCUGUAGCUGGUCUGAGAGGACGACCAGCCACACUGGAACUGAGACACGGUCCAGACUCCUACGGGAGGCAGCAGUGGGGAAUUUUGGACAAUGGGCGAAAGCCUGAUCCAGCCAUUCCGCGUGCAGGAUGAAGGCCCUCGGGUUGUAAACUGCUUUUGUACUGAACGAAAAGGUUUCUACUAAUACUAGGAGCUCAUGACGGUACUGUAAGAAUAAGCACCGGCUAACUACGUGCCAGCCGCCGCCGUAA